GUAGUUGUGGCCGAGUGGUUAAGGCGAUGGACUCAAAAUCCAUCGGGGUCUCCCCAAGCAGGUUUGAAUUCUGUCAACUAUG